GCCGAAGUAGCUCAAUGGUAGAGCACCGCUUUCGUAAAGCGGGGGUUAAGAGUUCAACUCUCUUCUUCGGCU
rnacentral:tRNA from 1 species